CACAAAAAAAAAAAGAAGCUCACGGCCAAGACAAAAAAAACGUAAGAUAGGGAACGCCGCCGCCUGCCAUCGCAACGCCAGCCGAUAGGGCACGCCGCCGUUCGCCACGGGCCGGCCGGCGUCCUGCUCGUCGCCGCCACGGCGUCCCGCUCGUGCCCCGGUGCGCGGCCACCCUGCUUCCCACUUGUCCCCACGUGGGCCGCCUUUUUGCCUCUGCCGGCGCCACCACCGCUCCCUGCCCGUCGCCGCCCGUGGAGCAAGAUGAAGGGUGCUCCGAUGGACGAGCACAAGAAGCCGGCAGAGGAGGAGAACAAGAAUUCUUCCGGCGAGUCAGGAUGCGGUCCGGCGAGAAAGCAGGUUGAAGCUACAGCCAACAUAGCAGCUGUUCUACUUCUACCAAGCAAGCAAAUGCAGUGAAGAAACCACCACCGCCUGUUUUUCACAGCCGAAGAUAUUCUCGGAUGUGAACGCAGAGGCGACAGGAAUAGGAGACGGCGACGAGGCAUUGAUCUGACAAGUAACACAUACCAGGUCAGUGCACUUUUAAUAAGCAGUGCAUUGAUCUGAGUUGUUGAAGAUGGUAUCUGGAUGUGUAUAGCAGGCAGCUACGUACGUAGUAGCCUAGUAAGCAAAGUUGAUCAUGGUGCUCUUGGCAGGCACCUGCAGUUUUCUCUUUUGUUCCACGCUGAUCAUAUCAGCCUGUAAAAUCGAUACAGUACAGAUUAAGCAGUACUGCAUAUUGACUCACAAUGGUACUACUCUACUUAUUAGUACUCAUCGCCAUUAACAA